GCCUACGGGGGGCAGCAGCUAAGAAUAUUCCGCAAUGGACGAAAGUCUGACGGAGCGACGCCGCGUGGAUGACGAAGGCCGAAAGGUUGUAAAGUCCUUUUGUUGGGGAAGAAUAACCAUGGGAGGGAAUGCCCGUGGGAUGACAUGAACCGACGAAUAAGCCCCGGCUAACUACGUGCCAGCAGCCGCGGUAACACGUAGGGGGCGAGCGUUGUUCGGAAUUACUGGGCGUAAAGGGCAUGUAGGCGGCUCUGUAAGUCCGGCGUGGAAGCCUACGGCUUAACCGUAGGAUUGCGCUGGAAACUGCGGGGCUUGAAUCACGGAGAGGGAGCUAGAAUUCCAGGUGUAGGGGUGAAAUCUGUAGAGAUCUGGAAGAAUACCAGUGGCGAAGGCGAGCUCCUGGCCGAUGAUUGACGCUGAGGUGCGAAAGUGUGGGGAUCAAACAGGAUUAGAUACCCGGGUAGUCU
rnacentral:rRNA from 1 species